AGGCUUCCGACUUACUAUCAACUAGCUAGACACAUGCGUGACCCUCCCGGGAGGAGCGGUGGCACAUUUACUUAGCCACCCACCCGGGCAGUGAUUAAGCCAUAAGUACUUGACUUAGUGGGCCGGUUCGUGGCACCGCUACGAGGCCCGCUGAUAGAUAGGCGUGUGGGAUAAAGCCCUUCAGCGCCGAAGACGUGGCUUUACCCCACGCUACGACACAAGGGCCCAUGCUUAGCGGUAGCACCUACUACCGCCAGCGCUGGAUGGCGGUGCUUUACUAGAAGCCUGUUCUACCGCGUUCCUUUCCGCCUAUAUACCGCCGUCGUGCACCCUAGGGUGCGGCCAACGUCAGGUCGAGGUGUAGCGGGAAGGAGAAAUGGGCUUCCUAGGAGAUGUACUGCGUACAUCUUUAGAGCAGGAUCCAGCUUGAAGCGCGCACACGCCCGUCCUCCCCGCCGCGGGGGAGGUCGUAACGUAAGUGUACCGGUGCACUUGCAAUGGUUUCCUUAAAGUAUCCGCACCCCCAGAAUACAGUUCGCCCAACAUAUCACCCAUGACUUGCUUAGCACUCAAGAACUCAAUAAACGAAACAAAGCUAAAAAAAACCCACGGUUAGAAAUCAAAGCUUAAUCUUAAUAUAAACGAACACAAUGUUAUACACCGUAAGAAGUUCAACCGAAAUAACCUGAACGAAAAACAUUAGAUACCUACGUAAACGUUCACUACCCUGGGAACUACGAUCAUGAAACCCAAACUGAUCCACGGAGAAUAACCCCCAACCUCAUUGUUUUUCCCCAUUGUGAAUUUAUAAAAAAAUUUACAAUAAGUAUGAACAUUAAAACAAUUACGGACAGAUGAAGGAGGACAGUAAAUAGAGCGGAAAUUGGCCCCACACUAAUAUCAACUAAUAUAACUAAAACCUUAUAAUCAAGCAAAUGGGAAGAAAAAU
rnacentral:rRNA from 1 species